GCAAAAUUGAACUGAAGAUACGGAAGCAAAAAUCUCUUUGCCAAGGAGUUCGCUCCCAGAUCAUGGGAAAGAAAUAUAAGAUAAGAUAGUUUGUUUCCGAGUCAUUUGAUAGUUUGAUUAUAUUUGUAAUAAGAUAACAAACGGUAAAUGCGAAAAAAAAUCUUUCUUGAACCAUUUGGAUGAACCUCGUAUGAUUGGUUCGAUGUUAGACCCAAAUCUUCUAUGCGUAUGUGAGUCUCUGUAACAAAACAAUUCAAUACAAAAACAUAAUUUCC
rnacentral:lncRNA from 1 species